UCUACAUUGCCUAUUAUUUCCGGGUUUCGGACGAGGCUGUCAGCCUUGCAGUGUGUGUGUAAUAUAGGGCAUUUGCUUUCAUUCACGGUUUAUUUUUCCAUUUAAAGACCGCCAAAACCGAACUCUUUGUAGUUAAUCUCUCGAUCGGUAAUGGAAAACGCUCGUUGUUUUUCCAACCGUUUUGCCGACUACGAAGGUGCGCUUGUCGCAGGUCAGGGAAUCGAGACAGUGGUACCCGCUGUCAUAGCGACCAUAGAUAAAAUAUUGAAGAAGGUUGAUUUAAAUGCUUGUGAUGGAGGGCUGUACGAUGGUCCAGCGGGAGUGGCGUACAUGCUCUACCACGUCUCCGAGUGCCCUCUGUUCUCAAAGCAAAGAGAUAAUUAUCUCAAGACAGCCAAGCAGAUCAUUGACGUAUCUGUGAGAUACGUGGAUGUGGAGCCAGACCAAAAUAUGCGUGCCGCCUUUCUCCUCGGCGGGGCAGGUAUAUAUGCUGUGGCCGCGAUGGUCUACAAAGCCUUGGGUUUGUCAGACUUUGUCAAGCCGCUGACAAAAUUUCGUAAUCUGUGGAAGGUGUGCGCGCCCAUCAACUUCAUGGAGUGCGGCUCAGAUGAGCUUUUCGUAGGCCGUGCGGGGUACCUUUGCGCUGCCCUAGUGCUCAAACAGAAGUUGGCGAUAGAGAUUCUUAGCAUGGAUCAAAUCACGGCCAUAUGCCAAGCCAUCAUUGAGUCUGGCAAACAGUAUGCCAGGAGGAGAAGAAAGCCCUUUCCUCUCAUGUUCACCUACUACGGCACCGAAUACCUCGGUGCAGCCCACGGGCUGUCAUCAGUGCUUCAGAUGCUGCUGUCCUACCACGAGGUGCUUAGCGGAGCCGAGAGAGACCUGGUGUGGCACAGUGUGAACUUCCUCAUGAACCAGGAGCAGAACUGUAACUGGCCGGCCGAGCUGGGCGCUAUGAUAAAGAAGGAGAACGAACUGUUGCACUGGUGCCAUGGGGCUCCUGGUGUGGCAUACCUGUUUGCCAAGGCCUACCUGAUAAACAACAAGCCCCAGUAUCUGGACACGUGCAUCCGCUGUGGAGAGCUGGUCUGGGAGAAGGGGCUGUUGAAGAAGGGUCCGGGCAUCUGCCACGGGGUGGCCGGCAGUGCCUACGUCUUCCUCCUCCUCUACCGCCUCACAGGAAACAGGAAGUACAUCUACCGAGCACAGAGGUUUGCAGAGUUCCUGUUCACGAAUGAGUUCAAGGCAGGUUCCAGCUCGGUUACCAGUAUUUACAGUCUCUUCGAGGGCCUCUCGGGCACUGUCUGCUUCCUGGUAGAUAUCCUCCAGCCUGACCAGGCAGAGUUCCCACUUUUUAGUAUCUAUGUGUGAAGGCCCACUGAGUCAUUGCUCCUGUUUGAAUAUUCUCAAUGGUUUGCUUAACCCUUUGUGGAAGAAAAUAUAGAAACAAUUGCUUUCAGGCUUUAUUACAUUUUGUAUGUGUUUCACUUUGGUUCCUAUUGUUGUGAAAUGGUUAGUCAGUCAAAUUAAAUAUUGAUAUUGUAGCUAUUUUUAUUGUUAGUAUAAGUACAGAGUGGUUGUACAUUUCUACCUUGAAAAUAGUUAUAUUCUGUAAAAAAAUACAUGCACACAAACACCACACCGUUAGUCAACAGUACACUAUUCCAAGUUAGGUGCAAGCCCUUCUUAAUAGGAUUGGUGAGAAGAACUCAAAUAACAGCCACAGAAUGCUUUUUACUGCCUCCAAAGCCUCGCCUGGCAUAACUGGCCGGAACGAGAACUACACUCUAUAGAGCACCAACCCUCAAUCCUUUCUUUAAGCCUGUUUCUUUUAUACAGACUGUGGAGGCUGAUUAAAAUGCCCAGUUUACUAUUUGGACCUGCAAUAUUUGAACUUGCCUUUGCUAGUUUGAAUGUAGUAUUGUGUAUUGUAGGCAAAUUCAAAGUACAUCACAAUGUACAGUAUAUUGGGUUUUUGAAGAAAACCUUUACAUCGAAGUUGCAGCCUAGUUCUUUUGAGAUUGAGAAACCCUGUUAUAUGUACAGUAUAUGCCAUUUGGUCUUGGUUUAAUUAUUUAUUGUUAUAGCCUAUAUUGCAUGGUCAAUUAAUGUGCAGUUAAUUCACAAUCAUUUAGAAACGUAUUACUAUUAAACUAUUCCAAAAUGUAAUUUGUUUUGUUAUUUAAUGUUUUAUAACGCCAACUAACAUGGAGACUGACUUUGACUGCUGACUGCUGUGGAAGCAAAUAAGUGACAAUGUUUUGAAUUUUAAAAGGCUUGGAAUACCUUAUACUGAAAUGUAAACACCACCGAAUUCAUAGCAUCAAAAUAUUUUACUUAGAAAACCAUACCUGAAUUAAGUGAGUAAGAUUAUAAUAUGAUUUGAUUUCAGUGUAAA